rnacentral:lncRNA from 10 species
UUAAAUACUCAGGAGAUGUAAUUUUUUUAGCCUCUUAAUUUGGCAGUGUAUCUCAAAAUGUGGUAUGUAUCAAAAUAAUCUGGCCCCAAUUUCAUAACUUCUAAGUGGGAUGCAGCUCUGCCAUGUAUUUGUUGAAGGCAGUGAUGGUGGCAGUGAUUCUAAAAGAGAAAUUCUCAAUUUUGUAGCUGAUUCGCAUAGAGGGCUUGUGACUCCAUCACCUACUGUCUGUGUGACCCUGUGCAAGUUACCUAACCUUCCAUGCCUCAGACUCUUCCUCUCUAGAAGAACUGAGCAUAAUAAUAGUGCCUUCUUCAUCGGAUUAUUAUGAUAGUUACAUGAAUUAAGACAUGGAAUGUGCCAGGUACUAUGUAUAGGGUUGGAAAAGUGAGGUCCAGAGAGGCUUAGCUGGCUGAGUGUGACUGAGAAGAAAAGGCUUGGGGCUGCAAACUCCACAGAGAUAAAGGUGAAGUAAUUUUCCAGUAAAUGUUGGGGUUGGGAUCAAAAUUAUGUGUAAUUUAUUUCAAAAGCCCUCCUAGUGUUUGGCACAUUUUAAGCAUGCAAACUUUGAAAGCAUACCUUGGUUUUCCUGGGUUCAUCUGAGGGCAUUUUCGUUUAGUAGGUCUGGAUGUAGGGCCCAGGAAUCUGCAUUUAACAACAAACACUCCCAGGUGGUUCUGAGGCUGGUAGUCUAAGGAUCAC